rnacentral:rRNA from 1 species
AACGAACGCUGGCGGCAUGCCUAACACAUGCGAGUCGAACGAGACCUUCGGGUCUAGUGGCGCACGGGUGUGUAACGCGUGGGAAACUGCCCUGAGGUUCGGAAUAACUCCCCGAAAGGGGUGCAAAUACCGGAUAAUGUGUUCGGACCAAAGAUUUAUCGCCUUUGGAUGGGCCCGCGUUGGAUUAGCUAGUUGGUAGUGUAAAAGCCUACAAAGGCGACGAUCCAUAGCUGGUCUGAGAGGAUGAUCAGCCACACUUGGACUGAGACACGUCCCAGACUCCUCCGGCGUGCAGCAGUUUUUAAUAUUGGACGAUGGGCGUGAGCCUUCUCCAGCCAUGCCGCGUGGCUCAUGAAGGCCUUAGCUUUUUUAAGCUCUGUUGCCCGCAGUGUUAAUCACAGUACCGUCGCAAUAAGCUCCGCCUAACCCCGUG